UACCCCCUACGGGGGGCAGCAGUGAGGAAUAUUGGUCAAUGGGCGCAAGCCUGAACCAGCCAAGUCGCGUGAGGGAAGACGGCCCUACGGGUUGUAAACCUCUUUUGCCGGGGAGCAGGCCUGAGCACGUGUGCCCAGGCGGAGAGUACCCGGAGAAAAAGCAUCGGCUAACUCCGUGCCAGCAGCCGCGGUAAUACGGAGGAUGCCAGCGUUAUCCGGAUUUACUGGGUUUAAAGGGAGCGCAGGCGGCACGGCAAGCCUGAGGUGAAAGCCCGCGGCCCAACCGUGGGACGGCAUUGGGAACU
rnacentral:rRNA from 1 species